rnacentral:lncRNA from 1 species
ACUGAUAGAUCCAAUAUAAUUAUGGAUUUACAUAUGAUGUAAAGAAAUAAUUAAAACCUAAGAAGACCUAAAUUAAAUCUUCUUAUAAAAUAUUAAGUCGAGUGGUCUUCCACUAUUAUAAAUGUGCAGGCCCUUUUGGAUGUUCUCAACUGGUCAUAGUGGUUCAGUUGCAUCAAGAAAGAUGCAACCACUCUAUAGUAUGAGAUGCUCCUUUACAGAGAUGGGGUUGGG